AUGCCAAUCGCCAUCCCAAUCCCAUUCCCAAUCCUGAUCCCGUUCCCGAUCCCGAUCCCAACCCCGAUCCCAUUCCCAAUCCCAAUCCUGAUCCCCAUCGCCAUCCCAAUCCCAUUCCCCAGCCCGAUCCCAUUCCCAUUCCCGAUCCUGAUCCCCAUUGCCAUCCCGAUCCCAUUCCUGAUCCCAUUCCCAAUCCCAAUUCCAAUCCCGAUCCCAAUCCUCAUCCCCAUUCCCCAUCCUGAUCCCAUUCCCGAUCUCAUUCCCAUUCCCGAUCCCAUUCCCCAUCCUGAUCCCAUUCCCGAUCUCAUUCCCAAUCCCAAUCCCAUUCCUAAUCCCAAUUCCAACCCCAAUCCUGAUCCCAAUCCCCAUCGCCCAAUCCCAUUCCCGUUCCUGAUCCCAAUCCCAAUCCUGAUCCUGAUCCUGAUCCCCAUUCCCCACCCGGAUCCCAUUCCCGUUCCCGAUCCCAUUCCCAUCCCGAUCCCAUUCCUGUUCCCGAUCCCAUUCCCGAUCUCCAUCCCCAUCCCGAUCCCAUUCCCAAUCCCGUUCCUGAUCCUCAUCCUGAUUCCCAUCCCCAUCCUGCUCCUGAUCCCAUUCCUGAUCCCGAUCCCGAUCCCCUUCCCAACCCCGAUCCCAUUCCCCAUCCCGAUUCCAUUCCCAAUCUUGACCCCAUUCCUGAUCCCGAUCCCCAUCCCCAUCCCAAUCCCAAUCCCAAUCCCAUUCCCGAUCCCGAUCCCAUCCCCAUGCCAAUCCCAUUCCCGACCCCGACCCCGAUCCCGAUCCCAUCCCAAUCCCAAUCCCAUUCCCGACCCCGAUCCCGAUCCCGAUCCCGAUCCCAUUCCCCUUCCCAUCCCAUUCCCAAUCCUAUUCCUGAUCCUGAUCCCGAUCCCGAUCCCAAUCCCGUUCCUGAUCCCAAUCCUGAUCCCGGUGCCGAUCCCAAUCCCAUCCCAUUCCCAGAAUUCCCAUUCCCAAUCCCUCCCAGUAUCCCCCAGUAUCUCCCAGUAUCCCCCAGUAUCUCCCAGUGCCAUCCCAGGAUCCCCCAGUAUCUCCCAGUACCCCUCAGAUCCCUCCCAGUAUCCCCAA
rnacentral:lncRNA from 13 species